GCAGAGAUUGCAUGGGGAAUGUAGGAACGUUCCCGAUGUCUGCUUGGAUCUGUCCCUCCCGCCUUCCUUCCAUACUGGGCUUAAGCUGAAGGCCUCCUCCUUUUGCUUGGCUUUUUCACUCAAGGCUGUGACUCUAUCACUUUAGCC